GACGGGGCCCGCACAAGCAGCAGAGCGUGUGGUUUAAUUCGAUGCAACGCGAAGAACCUUACCAGGGUUUGACAUGCUUAAAGUAGAAACUCGAAAGAGGGACGACCUGUAUCCAGUCAGGAGUUUGCACAGGUGCUGCAUGGCUGUCGUCAGCUCGUGCCGUGAGGUGUUAGGUUAAGUCCUGCAACGAGCGCAACCCUCGUCGCUAGUUGUUUUCUCUAGCGAUACUGCCCGUAUAACGUGGAGGAAGGUGGGGAUGACGUCAAGUCAGCAUGGCCCUUACAUCCUGGGCUACACACACGCUACAAUGGUCAGCACAAUAGGUAGCCAAGCCGCGAGGUGGAGCCAAUCCUCAAAGCUGGCCUCAGUUCAGAUCGCAGGCUGCAACCCGCCUGCGUGAAGCCGGAGUUGCUAGUAACCGCAGGUCAGCUAUACUGCGGUGAAUACGUUCCCGGGGCUU
rnacentral:rRNA from 1 species